GCAUAUCAAUAAGCGGAGGAAAAGAAACCAACAGGGAUUGCCUCAGUAACGGCGAGUGAAGCGGCAAGAGCUCAAAUUUGAAAUCUGGUCCUUUCAGGGCCCGAGUUGUAAUUUGCAGAGGAUGCUUUGGGUGCGGCCGCGGCAUAAGUCCCCUGGAACGGGGCGUCGCAGAGGGUGAGAAUCCCGUCUUGAGUCGCCGGUUCGCGCCCGUGUAAAGCUCCUUCGACGAGUCGAGUUGUUUGGGAAUGCAGCUCUAAAUGGGUGGUAAAUUUCAUCUAAAGCUAAAUAUUGGCUGGAGACCGAUAGCGCACAAGUAGAGUGAUCGAAAGGUUAAAAGCACCUUGAAAAGGGAGUUAAAUAGCACGUGAAAUUGUUGAAAGGGAACCGCUUGCAGCCAGACUCGGCCGCGGAGGCUCAAUGGGCACGUGUGCCCAUGCACUCCUCCGCGGUCGGGCCAGCAUCAGUUCUGACGGCCGGUCAAAGGCCCCUGGAAUGUGUCAUCCUCCGGGAUGUCUUAUAGCCAGGGGUGCAAUGCGGCCAGUCGGGACUGAGGAACGCGCUUCGGCACGGAUGCUGGCGUAAUGGCUGUAAGCGACCCGUCUUGAAACACGGACC
rnacentral:rRNA from 1 species